rnacentral:rRNA from 1 species
ACGCCUUAUACAUGCAAGUCGAACGCAGUAGCAAUACUGAGUGGCAGACGGGUGAGUAUAAUGUGGGAAUCUGCCUUUUGGUUUGGAAUAACUCGGGGAAACCUGAGCUAAUACUGGAUAAGCCCUUACGGGGAAAGCUUUACGCGCCAAAAGAUGAGCCCGCACUUGAUUAGCUUGUUGGUGAGGUAAAAGCUCACCAAGGCAACGAUCAAUAGCUGUUCUUAGAGGAAGACCAGCCACAUUGGGACUGAGACACGGCCCAGACUCCUACGGGAGGCAGCAGUAAGGAAUCUUGCACAAUGGGGGAAACCCUGAUGCAGCGAUGCCGCGUGAGUGAAGAAGGCCUUUGGGUUGUAAAACUCUUUCGUCGGGGAAGAAAAUGACUGUACCCGAAUAAGAAGGUCCGGCUAACUUCGUGCCAGCAGCCGCGGUAAUACGAAGGGACCUAGCGUAGUUCGGAAUUACUGGGCUUAAAGAGCUCGUAGGUGGUUAAAAAAGUUGGUGGUGAAAUCCCAAGGCUCAACCUUGGAACUGCCAUCAAAACUUUUUAGCUUGAGUAUGAUAGAGGAAAGUGGAAUUUCUAGUGUAGAGGUGAAAUUCGUAGAUAUUAGAAAGAACACCAAAUGCGAAGGCAACUUUCUGGAUCAUUACUGACACUGAGGAGCGAAAGCAUGGGUAGCGAAGAGGAUUAGAUACCCUCGUAGUCCAUGCUGUAAACGAUGUGUGCUAGACGUUGGAAAUUUAUUUUUCAGUGUCGCAGCAAAAGCGUUAAGCACACCGCCUGGGGAGUAC